rnacentral:rRNA from 1 species
CAGUCGAGCGGUAGAGAGAAGCUUGCUUCUCUUGAGAGCGGCGGACGGGUGAGUAAUGCCUAGGAAUCUGCCUGGUAGUGGGGGAUAACGCUCGGAAACGGACGCUAAUACCGCAUACGUCCUACGGGAGAAAGCAGGGGACCUUCGGGCCUUGCGCUAUCAGAUGAGCCUAGGUCGGAUUAGCUAGUUGGUGGGGUAAUGGCUCACCAAGGCGACGAUCCGUAACUGGUCUGAGAGGAUGAUCAGUCACACUGGAACUGAGACACGGUCCAGACUCCUACGGGAGGCAGCAGUGGGGAAUAUUGGACAAUGGGCGAAAGCCUGAUCCAGCCAUGCCGCGUGUGUGAAGAAGGUCUUCGGAUUGUAAAGCACUUUAAGUUGGGAGGAAGGGCAGUAACCUAAUACGUUGCUGUCUUGACGUUACCGACAGAAUAAGCACCGGCUAACUCUGUGCCAGCAGCCGCGGUAAUACAGAGGGUGCAAGCGUUAAUCGGAAUUACUGGGCGUAAAGCGCGCGUAGGUGGUUUGUUAAGUUGGAUGUGAAAUCCCCGGGCUCAACCUGGGAACUGCAUUCAAAACUGACAAGCUAGAGUAUGGUAGAGGGUGGUGGAAUUUCCUGUGUAGCGGUGAAAUGCGUAGAUAUAGGAAGGAACACCAGUGGCGAAGGCGACCACCUGGACUGAUACUGACACUGAGGUGCGAAAGCGUGGGGAGCAAACA